CAUCCUCAUUCGACCCAUCCUGCUGCUAGCCAGGAUAGCAUCUCGAACAAAUCUCAGUCAAGUCCCAGCGUUUCGGAUCAACUCCCCUGUUCAGCCUCCAUCCUUAUCCCAUCAUUAAAGGAUAAAAAGAUAUCGACUCUAUCCCGCAGCCAUUGAUCCAUAUUUAUCUCAACUUGGAACAGGGGAGAGAGGGGGAGGUAUGCAGUCUAUAAAAGGCUCUUCAUGGAAACCAGAGGGGGCAUUCUUCGGAUGGAAGGAUCAGCGAGCUUCUUCCUGUAGCCGAGUUUCCAAAGAAGUCAGAGAGAGAGAGAAGGAGAGAGAAGACGUCGAAGAGAUGGAAGUAGCCGUGAUGGAAGUUCACUACAAUGCUGCUGCCGUCCACAACUAUAUGCAAGGCUGAUCUCCUCUCUAGGGCCGGAUGCAGCCCUAACAAAGGGACACGGGUUUUAUAUUUUAUUUUAUAUUCUUGGGGUUGUAUGAACUUAUUGUUUUCAAUUGAUAUCUUCUUUUGAAUCAUAUUUAAUUUCUGUGAUUUUAAGUAUGAUGUUCGUACAACUGUUCUUCAUGAUCACUAAGUUAAUAGAAGAUCACCCAUGCUUAGGGAAAAUGCAGUGUCCUGCCACAUUAGUUUAGGGUAGACAUUUCAUGCCAACCGAAGAUGGAUGUUCCUAAAUUACUUUUGUGAGAUUUUUAUUUGAAUGCUUA
rnacentral:lncRNA from 1 species